rnacentral:rRNA from 1 species
AGCAGCCGCGGUAAUUCCAGCUCCAAUAGCGUAUAUUAAAGUUGUUGCAGUUAAAAAGCUCGUAGUUGAAUUUCAGGCCUGGCUGGACGGUCCGCCCUUCGGGUGAGUACUGUCUGUGGUCGGGUCCUACCUUCUGGCGAAGCGUCAUGGCCUUAACCGGCCGUGGCGGGGAACCAGGGCUUUUACUGUGAAAAAUUAGAGUGUUCAAAGCAGGCAAUCGCUUGGAUACAUUAGCAUGGAAUAAUGGAAUAGGACAAUGGUUCUAUUUGUUGGUUUCUAGGACCGUUGUAAUGAUUAAUAGGGAUAGUUGGGGGCAUUAGUAUUCAAUUGUCAGAGGUGAAAUUCUUGG